CGGGGGGGGCGGGCUUACCCAUGCAAGUCGAGCGGUAACAGAGAUAGCUUGCUAUCUGCUGACGAGCGGCGGACGGGUGAGUAAUGCUUGGGAAUAUGCCUUAUGGUGGGGGACAACAGUUGGAAACGACUGCUAAUACCGCAUAACGUCUACGGACCAAAGGGGGGGAUGCUUCGGCACCUCCCGCCAUUUGAUUAGCCCAAGUGAGAUUAGCUAGUAGGUGAGGUAAGAGCUCACCUAGGCGACGAUCUCUAGCUGGUUUGAGAGGAUGAUCAGCCACACUGGGACUGAGACACGGCCCAGACUCCUACGGGAGGCAGCAGUGGGGAAUAUUGCACAAUGGGCGAAAGCCUGAUGCAGCCAUGCCGCGUGUGUGAAGAAGGCCUUCGGGUUGUAAAGCACUUUCAGCGAGGAGGAAAGGUUAGUGGUUAAUAGCCACUAGCUGUGACGUUACUCGCAGAAGAAGCACCGGCUAACUUCGUGCCAGCAGCCGCGGUAAC
rnacentral:rRNA from 1 species